rnacentral:rRNA from 1 species
AUUGAACGCUGGCGGCAGGCCUAACACAUGCAAGUCGAACGGUAACAGGAAGAAGCUUGCUUCUUUGCUGACGAGUGGCGGACGGGUGAGUAAUGUCUGGGAAACUGCCUGAUGGAGGGGGAUAACUACUGGAAACGGUAGCUAAUACCGCAUAACGUCGCAAGACCAAAGAGGGGGACCUUCGGGCCUCUUGCCAUCGGAUGUGCCCAGAUGGGAUUAGCUAGUAGGUGGGGUAACGGCCCACCUAGGCGACGAUCCCUAGCUGGUCUGAGAGGAUGACCAGCCACACUGGAACUGAGACACGGUCCAGACUCCUACGGGAGGCAGCAGUGGGGAAUAUUGCACAAUGGGCGCAAGCCUGAUGCAGCCAUGCCGCGUGUAUGAAGAAGGCCUUCGGGUUGUAAAGUACUUUCAGCGGGGAGGAAGGGAGUAAAGUUAAUACCUGUGCUCAUUGACGUUACCCGCAGAAGAAGCACCGGCUAACUCCGUG